UCUGAUAUCACGUCUUCCUUUUCUCCUUUUUCUCUUGCUUCACCUCUUUUUUUUCUCGCUUGCGGCACCUCUUCUUUUUAUCUCUUGCGGCAUUGCAUUGGUGUCUUCCUCCUCUCCUUUUUGUCUCUUGUGGCAUUGCAUCCCAGGUGCGUGGUUUUUAUUGUUAUCGUUUCAUCUUUGUCAGUCUUUCAUCGAUUAUAUCUUUUGGUUCAACUGAUUAAAU
rnacentral:lncRNA from 1 species